rnacentral:lncRNA from 1 species
CAAAUUUGUAAUUUGUUUCUUAUACAUAUAUUGGUGAAAACUAUCUGCUUUCCAGGCACAUAUGCUUAGUUGAUUGUGAAAAUGUUGAUUUGAACAAUAUUCAUCCUUGAGUGUAUCGCCAGGGAAGUUCUCCUCCUCUAAGAGUGAAGAGGAAAGAAGACAGAAUUGUAUCCAGUGUAUCCAGUGCGGUGUCUGAAACCGUUACAAUGGUGUGCAUCUUGUUUCCAUUAUUUUUUAUUGCCGUGUUUCGAUGAGAUCAUACUUUGAGCCACCAUAGCUGACCUGUUCUUUAUGAGCAACUCUGAGCACCCAGCAUCCUUCCUAACAGGAUAGUCUCUGCUGAUACAAGUUCCCUCAAGAGGUUUUGGAAUUUUCAUUGAUGGUCUUUUCAAUCUUGCGACAAUUCAUAUGCCAUCAUUAAUUAUCUCUGUUUUCCAACCUGGUUGAGUGAAAUAAUUAAGUUUCACCAGCAAGAAAAAUCAGUGUAUUAAAAACCUUUGGCUGCGUUUGCAUUAGGCUGAGAUGAAAGGGAGCCUGGGAGCAGAGGCAAUGUCUCAGCUGGAAUGUAACUGUCAACAGCACUAACACGACUCACCAGCUCUAUUAGCAGAAACGGCCUGCAGGGAUCUUUACAUCAAAAUCAUUAAAAACUAAGAUUGUCAACAAACUCAGUCCUAGUUGGACCUAGAAGCCGAUUUAGAAACCGAUUUUCUCUAGUAAUUGGGCUUAAUGAGUUACUCUCUCAGUAUCAUGCUUUAUGGUGUAAUUAAACACACACACACACACACACACACACACACACACACACACACACUGAAGGUGUGGUUCUCAGUCAUGCAUUGAGAGGUGAUUGGGUGGUAAAGGUGCCAUACUCAUCAAGGGACAUCCCACAACUGAUUGCACUCUUGGGAUGUGGUGACCUCCCAGCUUAGAAGCUGUGACCUGGAAUAGGGAGGGGGUGAGGGGUGGAAGGAUGUGUCUGUUCCUUAGCCACUCUUCUGCCUUCCUUGCCUUCCUCACCUCCGUGAGAAAAUCAACAAUGUUCUUCCAGAGGCUUCCUGACUUCCUACAGUCCAGUAACAGUGGAGCCAGUGUCUGAGAGCAGAACCUUCUGAAACUGUGAACGAAGACUUCCUCCCUUAAAAACAUCAGUGCUUUGUAAGCCCCUGGGGAUGAUGUCUUCCCUCCAGGACACUCUCAGGUGAACACUGAAGAUUCCAUAGGCCAGAACCUCCAGGUUACAAAUGAGUUUUACAUAUUAUAUUCCUGUGAAAGUGCUACUUGAUUUAUUUAAUGGGAGGGUUAUCACUUGGUUUUAAUGAUAUAUCAAAGAAAACACUGAGAUCUCUUGUCAUGCCAGUACCCCCCCCCCCCAAAAAAAAUCUUUCAAUGAGAUCUUGAGCAGAAUAAACUAAGCGAGUGUGUCAGUCCCUCCACAGGAAGUGGAGCUUUUAAGCCAUUACAGUUGAGAAAAAGCACAUAGCAUCUUCUGGAUCUGGGCUAUGACCUCAUCAAUAUAAUACUUUCUAGGUCCAUCCACUUGCCUGCAAAUUUCAUGCUAGCACUCUUCUUGACAGCUGAAUAGUAUUUCACAGUGCAUUUGUAUCAUGUUUUCAUCAUCUGAUGAGGAAUAUAGAUGUUGCUUCCGUUUCCCAGCUAUUGUGAAGAGGGAGGCAGUGAAGUUGGCCAAGCCAGUAUCUGUGGGGUAAGAUACCAAAGAGUGAUGUAGCUGAGUCGGAUGACAGAUUUAUUUUCAGCUUUUUGAGUAUUUUCGUAUUGCUUUAUAGAGUAGCUAGCUGCACCACUUGGCAUUCCCACCAACAGUAAAUGAAUGAGUUUUCCAUCUUCCCCAUGGCCUCAGGAGCAUUUCCUGUCGGCUGUUUUGCUGAUCUUAGCUAAACAUGACUGCCUGUAAGAUGAAAUCUCAGAGUUGGUUUAAUUUGCAUUUCCCUAAUUACUAAGAGUGGGGAGCACGUUUUGAAGUGCUUCUUGUCAUUCUUACUUCGUUUGGGGACUGUUUGGAUCUUGCUCAUGUUUUCACUUGGGUCAUUUGUUUCCUUGGCUUUUUGCCUUUUGAGUUUUCUGUGUAUUUUUGGAUAUUAAUCAUCUGCCAGAUGUCCAGUUAGCAAAGAUUCUCUCCCAUUACGUGGGUUAGUUCUUCACUAGAUUGAUUGUUCUCUUAACUGUUUAGAAGCUUUUUAGUUUUGUGAGGUCCUAUUUGCCAGUUGUCUUAAUUUCUGGGUAAAUGGAGUCCUGCUCAGAAAGUCCUUUCCUGCACCCAAAUCUUCCAGGAGUUGCUGCCUGUUUUCUUCUAGCAGUUUUAGUGUUUCACAUU